UGUGACAUCAGUAUCAAGAUCAAGCUCAAUACAGGAUCGCAUCAGGAAGACCGCCCUGUAGGCAAGACUUCCGACAUCCAACUCAACUGAGCUGAGCGGCGGCCGCGGGACACUGAAUUACCUGCCGCACGCCGGGGACACGCAGGCAGGUCUGUCAGGCCAUCAAGCCCCUCAACACCACCACCACCACCACCACCACCACCAGCGUCAUGGAGGCUGCAGGGAGGGGCAGCAGGAUGGCAGGAGGGAGACAGGUGGUGAAGAACAUGAACACUGGCGGCAGCCCUGAGGAGUGUCCAGUGUGCCUGACAGGCUAUGAUGGCACCGUGCAGCGGCCGCGCAACCUGCCCUGUGGCCACACUGUCUGCACACUGUGCAUAGACCAGCUGGAGGAGCAGGGCCGUGUUGCCUGCCCAGAGUGCCGCGUCAACCAUGCUUUGCCCGAGGGAGGACAGUUCCCUGUCAGCUAUGCUGUUGAGGCCUUUGUGAUGAGAGACGCUGAGGUGGCAGCAGCAGCAGCAGCCUUGCCGCCACCCAGUGCCGGGGAAGGAGCAGCAGCAGCAGCAGCAGCCUCGCCGCCACCCAGCACCGGGGAAGCAGCAGCCUCGCCACCACCCAGUGCCGGGGAAGGAGCACCAUCAGGGGUGGCUGGCAAGAAGGAGGCGGCGGGUCUCUCCAAGAAAAUGCGUUCCUUCCUGCAGGAACAGGAGGCCACAGUUGUGGCCGCCAUCACCGCCUGCCGGGAGGCUCAGUCGCAGCUGGACCAGUACCAGACGACCCUGGCAGGCUGGGGCAAGCGGCAGCAGCAGCUGGAGGACAGGCUCGUGGGACUGGUGGACCAGAGCAGGAGUGCCAGGGAGCUCCUGCAGCAGGAAGAGUCCCGUGUGGCGGCCAAGGAGGAGGAGCUGAAGAAGGAGGAGCAGGGGCUGCAGGCCGUGCUGGAGACGUUGCGCACCCUUGCAACAGAACAAGAAGUGGGCGCGGCGGUGACUGAAAUGGUUCGUUGCACUGGCGAGGCAGAGCAGGCGGUGGAGGAGUGCCGAGAAGGUUUUCCUGAUGCCAGCACCGUCACCACCGCCAGGAAGGUGAACGUGGCAUCUAGUGCAGCCCUGGAGGCUGUCCAGGCAGCUCUGGAAACACUUGCUACAGAGGAGCCCAGGCCCCAGGCAGACCCAGACUCCACCGUCAUGGACAGACUGCACCUCAUCUGGACAGGGAGCUUGACGGCCGAGGACCUCCGCAGCCUGACGCAGCCCGCCAGGCGCCUGCUGGAGGCUGGCCGGGUGCUUGCUGUCCACCAGGCGGAAGGUCAGCGCCGACACGCAAGAAUAAGCCUUGAAGCCGGCCAGCUGUGCCUCCACGCCCUGAAGGACCAUCCCCCGCCACUGGGCGCGGCAACCCUGCAGGUGAGCGAGGUUGUGCCGCCCUCCCCCCCCUGCACGGUGUUCCUGGACCUGUCCUGGCCGGGCAGCGCGCCGCGGCGGGUACAAAUCCGUCUGAGCCCCGACACCCCUCGGGGCAGACAGUUGUUACUGUUGUGCACGGGGCAGCGCGGCCCCUCCUACGUUGGCACCAGGUUGCAUGGAGUAGAGAGCAAGGCGGAGGCGGGAGAGUAUGUGAAGGGCGGGGACUAUGAGAGUAACAAUGGUGGAGGGUCAUCCGUCCUGCUGCCUGGCCUUGAUGAGGGUGAGUACCGAAAGUCAGGCCGGGCGGGGGAUGUGUUUGGGCUGGUGUGGACUGACCGUACCCGGGGUGAGUGUGGUAACUUUGGCAUCCACACCAGAGACUGUAAGGAUGGUGGUGAGGCAUCUCAUGUCUUCGGUGAGGUGGUGGACGGACUGCACGUGGUGGCCGAGGCAGCCCAACACAGGGACAUUAAGGAGGUGACUGUGGCGGACUGUGGCGUGGUGCUGUGAGGGUAAUGGCCACCACCACCACCACCACCACCACCACAGCAAGGUUAUGGAGGUGACUGUGGUGUGGUGUUGUGAGGGUAAUGGCCACCACCACCACCACCACCACAGCAAGGUUAUGGAGGUGACUGUGGUGUGGUGUUGUGAGGGUAAUGGCCACCACCACCACCACCACCACCACCACAGCAAGGUUAUGGAGGUGAGUGUGGCGUGGUGUUGUGAGGGUAAUGGCCACCACCACCACCACCACCACCACAGCAAGGUUAUGGAGGUGACUGUGGUGUGGUGUUGUGAGGGUAAUGGCCACCACCACCACCACCACCACAGCAAGGUUAUGGAGGUGACUGUGGUGUGGUGUUGUGAGGGUAAUGGCCACCACCACCACCACCACCACAGCAAGGUUAUGGAGGUGACUGUGGUGUGGUGUUGUGAGGGUAAUGGCCACCACCACCACCACAGCAAGGUUAUGGAGGUGACUGUGGUGGUUCUUUAUUUUUUGUAACAUCCAGGGUGAUGAUUUGUGCAUUACAUAAACACUUGAUAAUAUAAUCUCUUAUUUCUUGCUGCAUUCCUGUAACAUCCAGGGUGAUGAUUUGUGCAUUACAUAAACACUUGAUAAUAUAAUCUCUUAUUUCCUGCUGCAUUCCUGUAACAUCCAGGGUGAUAUUUUGUGCAUUACAUAAACACUUGAUAAUAUAAUCUCUUAUUUCCUGCUGCAUUCCUGUAACAUCCAGGGUGAUAUUUUGUGCAUUACAUAAACACUUGAUAAUAUAAUCUCUUAUUUCUUGCUGCAUUCCUGUAACAUCCAGGGUGAUAUUUUGUGCAUUACAUAAACACUUGAUAAUAUAAUCUCUUAUUUCUUGCUGCAUUCCUGUAACAUCCAGGGUGAUAUUUUGUGCAUUACAUAAACACUUGAUAAUAUAAUCUCUUAUUUCUUGCUGCAUUCCUGUAACAUCCAGGGUGAUAUUUUGUGCAUUACAUAAACACUUGAUAAUAUAAUCUCUUAUUUCUUGCUGCAUUCCUGUAACAUCCAGGGUGAUGAUUUGUGCAUUACAUAAACACUUGAUAAUAUAAUCUCUUAUUUCUUGCUGCAUUCCUGUAACAUCCAGGGUGAUAUUUUGUGCAUUACAUAAACACUUGAUAAUAUAAUCUCUUAUUUCUUGCUGCAUUCCUGUAACAUCCAGGGUGAUAUUUUGUGCAUUACAUAAACACUUGAUAAUAUAAUCUCUUAUUUCUUGCUGCAUUCCUGUAACAUCCAGGGUGAUAUUUUGUGCAUUACAUAAACACUUGAUAAUAUAAUCUCUUAUUUCUCGAUGCAUUCCUGUAACAUCCGUAUUAUGUGCAUUACAUGAACACUUGAUAUAAUCUCUUAUUUUUCACUGCAUUCUUGUAACAUCCGGGGCGAUACUCUGCAUGAUGUUUUGUGCAUUACAUAAAUACUGGAUGUAAUGUGAUAGUUUCUUGGGGCAUCCUUGUAACAUGUUUUGUGCAUUACAUAAAUACUGGAUGUAAUGUGAUAGUUUCUUGGGGCAUCCUUGUAACAUGUUUUGUGCAUUACAUAAAUACUGGAUGUAAUGUGAUAGUUUCUUGGGACAUCCUUGUAACAUGUUUUGUGCAUUGCAUAAAUACUGGAUGUAAUGUGUUAGUUUCUUGGGGCAUCCUUGUAACAUGUUUUGUGCAUUACAUAAAUACUGGAUGUAAUGUGAUAGUUUCUUGGGGCAUCCUUGUAACAUGUUUUGUGCAUUGCAUAAAUACUGGAUGUAAUGUGUUAGUUUCUUGGGGCAUCCUUGUAACAUGUUUUGUGCAUUACAUAAAUACUGGAUGUAAUGUGAUAGUUUCUUGGGACAUCCUUGUAACAUGUUUUGUGCAUUGCAUAAAUACUGGAUGUAAUGUGAUAGUUUCUUGGGGCAUCCUUGUAACAUGUUUUGUGCAUUACAUAAAUACUGGAUGUAAUGUGAUAGUUUCUUGGGGCAUCCUUGUAACAUGUUUUGUGCAUUACAUAAAUACUGGAUGUAAUGUGAUAGUUUCUUGGGGCAUCCUUGUAACAUGUUUUGUGCAUUACAUAAAUACUGGAUGUAA